GUGCGUUAAGCAAAUAUUAUCAAGCGAACAGUGAGCUAAAUUGACUGAGACGAUACGUAGUUAGGCUAAUAUUAAACGAUCGGUGGAAUCGAUAAUCAUCACAAUUGAGUCAUUCUGACAUCAAUUGACUUCAUAAAUUGAAACGAACAGGAAAAAUAACGUUUCAAACAUUGUCUUUUAAAUUUAUCUUACAAUUUCCUAUUACAUAUUUGCAUCACCUUGUUGCAACAAAUAAAUAGAUUUGAUGUAUCAUUCGUUUCUCGAGGAUUGUACAUUAAUGUACUUAUGUAAAACGUUGAUAUUGGAUGUUGAAAUUGUCGAGGGGCUCGAUUGUUGCGCAUUAUUGAAGAAACAAAGAAGACAAGCGAACAUGAUGAAACACGCUGCAGAGAGAAGAUUAGAUCCUGGAAGUCCGCGUGUUCAACGAAAAUUAUUUAACGUGGAAUUAACAGAAACGCGGAUAUAAUCUGCGUCCCAGUGAUGAGAUUAUGGUAAUACAACUUGUUUGCUGCUCGACGUGCAGUGACAGUUAGAUUUAACCACCCUUUCGGCGAUAUAAUUGUAAAUGGUAAAAAUGAGCGUGUAUAUGCCUUUGGAAACGUGAUUCGCGAAAUUCGAAACAUAUAUAUCUUGUACGACACGCGACAUUUAUCCCCCGGCUUCUAUAUUUAUUCAGCGGAUUUGGCACGAUACUGAUCUGGCCUAAUAAUCGACUGGCACCUAGACACGUUACAAAUCUCUUUCUCAUCGUUCAGAUAUGUCUUCCGGCUGUUCGAGUACUUAUACAACUUACACCUUGCUCUGCCGGUCGAAAGUACACGGAAAAUGUUUCCAGUUUCAGCAAGAUGUAUUUUAAUCGUAAAGUUAUGGAUAAAUGAGAAAAUCUACAACCUCGCAGUUCUUGCAAUGAUCUUAUUAUCAUUAUUAUACUCGUAACUAUAUUAUAUAAUAAUAUCGUAAUAACUAUAUGAUAGAGAAUAUUUCAACAUUGCUAAGUUGUUUUUUAGAAGCCAACAAGCAAUAAAUUUGGCAUUUGUAAUUGCCAAAUCUUGAAUAAUUUUAGAAUAACUUUCCUCCUUGUCAAGCUUUUUAUUUUCAAACUCAAAUUAAUUUAUAAGUUAUAAAUCAGAUUGACUAGACUCUUCUAAAAUAAUAGAACGGUUUCUGACAUUUAUGCAAAUAAUGAUAUUUAAAUAUAUAUGUAUACCAUAGUAUAUACAUUUAUAAGAUAAUAUAUAUAUAAUCAGUAUAUAUAAUAACGUAUAUUAUUACCAUCAUUUUUAUAAAUUUAAAUAACUUA
rnacentral:misc_RNA from 1 species